rnacentral:rRNA from 1 species
CAGCCGCCGCGGGAAAACGAAGGGGGCUAGCGUUGUUCGGAUUUACUGGGCGUAAAGCGUGCGCAGGCGGUCCGCUAAGACAGAUGUGAAAUCCCCGGGCUUAACCUGGGAACUGCAUUUGUGACUGGCGGGCUAGAGUAUGGCAGAGGGGGGUAGAAUUCCACGUGUAGCAGUGAAAUGCGUAGAGAUGUGGAGGAAUACCGAUGGCGAAGGCAGCCCCCUGGGCCAAUACUGACGCUCAUGCACGAAAGCGUGGGGAGCAAACAGGAUUAGAUACCCGAGUAGUCCCUGUCUCUUAUAC